rnacentral:rRNA from 1 species
AUUGAACGCUGGCGGAAUGCUUUACACAUGCAAGUCGAGCGGCAGCGCGGGGGCAACCCUGGCGGCGAGCGGCGAACGGGUGAGUAAUGUAUCGGAACGUACCCAGUCGUGGGGGAUAACUAUCCGAAAGGAUAGCUAAUACCGCAUACGACCUGAGGGUGAAAGCGGGGGACCGAAAGGCCUCGCGCGAUUGGAGCGGCCGAUAUCGGAUUAGCUAGUUGGUGAGGUAAAGGCUCACCAAGGCGACGAUCCGUAGCUGGUCUGAGAGGACGACCAGCCACACUGGAACUGAGACACGGUCCAGACUCCUACGGGAGGCAGCAGUGGGGAAUUUUGGACAAUGGGCGCAAGCCUGAUCCAGCCAUUCCGCGUGAGUGAAGAAGGCCUUCGGGUUGUAAAGCUCUUUCGCAAGGAAAGAAAACUUAUACUCCUAAUACGAGGUGAGGUUGACGGUACCUUGAUAAGAAGCACCGGCUAACUACGUGCCAGCAGCCG